CGCACGGGUGAGUAACACGUAUGCAACCUGCCUGCCACAGCCGGAUAAUCGGGAGAAAUUCCGUCUAAUACGGCAUAAUGCAUCGACGGGACAUCCUGUUGGUGCCAAAGGUUAAUUCCGGUGGCGGAUGGGCAUGCGUCGCAUUAGUUAGUUGGCGGGGUAACGGCCCACCGAGGCGACGAUGCGUAGGGGUUCUGAGAGGAAGGUCCCCCACACUGGUACUGAGACACGGACCAGACUCCUACGGAAGGCAGCAG
rnacentral:rRNA from 1 species